rnacentral:rRNA from 1 species
AGUGAACGCUGGCGGUAGGCCUAACACAUGCAAGUCGAACGGCAGCACAGUAAGAGCUUGCUCUUACGGGUGGCGAGUGGCGGACGGGUGAGGAAUACAUCGGAAUCUACUUUUUCGUGGGGGAUAACGUAGGGAAACUUACGCUAAUACCUCAUACGACCUACGGGUGAAAGCAGUGGAUCUUCGGACCUUGCGCGAUUGAAUGAGCCGAUGUCGGAUUAGCUAGUUGGCGGGGUAAAGGCCCACCAAGGCGACGAUCCGUAGCUGGUCUGAGAGGAUGAUCAGCCACACUGGAACUGAGACACGGUCCAGACUCCUACGGGAGGCAGCAGUAGGGAAUAUUGGACAAUGGGCGCAAGCCUGAUCCAGCAAUACCGCGUGAGUGAAGAAGGCCUUCGGGUUGUAAAGCCCUUUUGUUGGGAAAGAAAAGAAGCAGGUUAAAACCUCGACGUUUUGACGGUACCCAAAGAAUAAGCAACGGCUAACUUCGUG